GCCGAGGUCGCAUAACCUGGUACAGCAGCCUUUCUUUCUUUGCGGAAAGAAAGGCUCCUGGGCAUCCAAAGAAAGACGCGAGGACAUCUUCGCGUCCGCUCAGAUGUCCAAAAGCUAGCAGGAAAUUGCGCAAGCCUGGAAAGCUUGUUCCCGAAAGGGUGUCAGAGUUCAAAUCUCUGUCUCGGCG
rnacentral:tRNA from 1 species